rnacentral:rRNA from 1 species
AUGGGUGUUGGCUCCAACAAUUCCCAUUGGUCUCAAACCAAUGAAGUGCAUUUAAAUGAUCAUGAGUUUGAGGUGGACGAGGAUGGUGAGGGUAUCGUCGAUGCACUGAAAGGAAGAGCAGGCAACUACACCAUGGAGGAAGACAUCUUGCUAUGCAAUAGAUGGAUGCAAGUGUCUAUGGAUGCCAACAUUGGAGGGGACCAAAGUAGAGAUGCAUAUUGGAUCCGGAUGAAGGAGCACUUUGAUGUACACAACACGAGUGGAAUUGACCGCAUGGAGAGAUAUCUUCGCUCCCGGUGGUCGACAAUCAACAAAGAUUGUCAAAGGUGGGCGGCGGCACUUAAGGCGGUUGACACGUUCAACCGAAGUGACACUAAUGAUAGAGACAUGGUAAGUACCUUUUUUUGUUUUUUGAAAUGCUAA